rnacentral:rRNA from 1 species
GAUGAACGCUGGCGGCGUGCCUAAUACAUGCAAGUCGAGCGAACAGACGAGGAGCUUGCUCCUCUGACGUUAGCGGCGGACGGGUGAGUAACACGUGGAUAACCUACCUAUAAGACUGGGAUAACUUCGGGAAACCGGAGCUAAUACCGGAUAAUAUAUUGAACCGCAUGGUUCAAUAGUGAAAGGCGGUUUUGCUGUCACUUAUAGAUGGAUCCGCGCCGCAUUAGCUAGUUGGUAAGGUAACGGCUUACCAAGGCAACGAUGCGUAGCCGACCUGAGAGGGUGAUCGGCCACAGUGGCACUGAGACACGGUCCAGACUCCUACGGGAGGCAGCAGUAGGGAAUCUUCCGCAAUGGGCGAAAGCCUGACGGAGCAACGCCGCGUGAGUGAUGAAGGUCUUCGGAUCGUAAAACUCUGUUAUUAGGGAAGAACAAAUGUGUAAGUAACUAUGCACGUCUUGACGGUACCUAAACAGAAAGCCACGGCUAACUACGUG